rnacentral:rRNA from 1 species
AUUGAACGCUGGCGGCAGGCCUAACACAUGCAAGUCGAGCGGAUGAGGAAAGCUUGCUUUUCGAUUCAGCGGCGGUCGGGUGAGUAAUGCCUAGGAAUCUGCCUGUUAGUGGGGGAUAACUCGGGGAAACUCGGGCUAAUACCGCAUACGUCCUACGGGAGAAAGUGGGGGAUCUUCGGACCUCACGCUAACAGAUGAGCCUAGGUCGGAUUAGCUAGUAGGUGAGGUAAUGGCUCACCUAGGCGACGAUCCGUAACUGGUCUGAGAGGAUGAUCAGUCACACUGGAACUGAGACACGGUCCAGACUCCUACGGGAGGCAGCAGUGGGGAAUAUUGGACAAUGGGCGAAAGCCUGAUCCAGCCAUGCCGCGUGUGUGAAGGAGGUCUUCGGAUUGUAAAGCACUUUAAGUUGGGAGGAAGGGUAUUCACCUAAUACGUGGGUACUUUGACGUUACCAACAGAAUAAGCACCGGCUAACUCUGUGCCAGCCGCCGCGGUAACAC